rnacentral:rRNA from 1 species
AGAGUUUGAUCCUGGCUCAGGAUGAACGCUAGCGGCAGGCUUAACACAUGCAAGUCGAGGGGCAACACGGGUAGCAAUACCUGGUGGCGACCGGCGCAAGGGUGCGUAACGCGUGAGCAACAUACCCUAUACAGGGGGAUAAUCCAGGGAAACUUGGUCUAAUAUCCCAUAGGAUUUACAGAUGUCAUCAUCUAUAAAUUAAAGCUUCGGUGGUAUAGGAUUGGCUCGCGUGACAUUAGCUAGAUGGUGGGGUAACGGCCUACCAUGGCCAUGAUGUCUAGGGGUUCUGAGAGGAAGACCCCCCACACUGGGACUGAGACACGGCCCAGACUCCUACGGGAGGCAGCAGUGAGGAAUAUUGGACAAUGGAUGGAAAUCUGAUCCAGCCAUGCCGCGUGCAGGAAGACGGCCCUAUGGGUUGUAAACUGCUUUUAUAUGGGAGCAAUAAGGUCUACGCGUAGACCGAUGAGAGUACCAUAUGAAUAAGCAUCGGCUAACUCCGUGCCAGCAGCCGCGGUAAUACGGAGGAUGCGAGCGUUAUCCGGAUUUAUUGGGUUUAAAGGGUGCGUAGGCGGCCUUAUAAGUCAGCGGUGAAAUUUUGCAGCUUAACUGUAACAGUGCCGUUGAUACUGUAGGGCUAGGAUUUGGUUGCUGUGGGUGGAAUGUGUGGUGUAGCGGUGAAAUGCUUAGAUAUCACACAGAAUAUCGAUUGCGAAGGCAGCUCACAAAGCCAAGAUUGACGCUGAGGCACGAAAGUGUGGGGAUCAAACAGGAUUAGAUACCCUGGUAGUCCACACUGUAAACGAUGAUAACUCGCUGCCGGCGAUACACAGUCGGUGGCCAAGCGAAAGCGAUAAGUUAUCCACCUGGGGAGUACGACCGCAAGGUUGAAACUCAAAGGAAUUGACGGGGGCCCGCACAAGCAGUGGAGUAUGUGGUUUAAUUCGAAGCAACGCGAAGAACCUUACCAGGUCUUGACAUCCAACUAACGAAGCAGAGAUGCAUUAGGUGCCCUUCGGGGAAAGUUGAGACAGGUGGUGCAUGGUUGUCGUCAGCUCGUGUCGUGAGAUGUUGGGUUAAGU